rnacentral:lncRNA from 1 species
AACAAAGAGUCGACUUUUCAUAUGGAAAUGGGAGAGUCUCUCAAAGAUGGGUCCCCCGAGCAGAAUAUAUUCCCCACUGAUGAAACAAAUGAAAGAUAUUGAAGAGAAAAAACAGCGAUUAACGGGUGACAGGAAUCCAGUGUCUCAGCCAGGUGCCCAGAAGCCUAGGUCUGAAGCUACAGGAGAUGCAGCCAGAAUGAGGGUGGCCAAGUGUGGGGGGUUGAACACCCUUCUCUCUCUUUCCUGCCGGAAUCCUGUUUAUCCAGCUGUUUCCCUGAAUUUGAUGCCCCUUGUAAUUACAUUUAAUGAGACUCCGAAUAUUAACUGGCACAAUAGCAAAGCGAUGAUCUCUAGUUGAAAACUCCAACAAGACAGGCUGUUCAGCUAGGGAUCUUCCUGUCUCCACCUCCUACAGCUCCUGGAUUGGUG